rnacentral:rRNA from 1 species
AGAGUUUGAUCAUGGCUCAGGAUGAACGCUAGCUACAGGCUUAACACAUGCAAGUCGAGGGGCAUCAGUUUGGUUUGCUUGCAAACCAAAGCUGGCGACCGGCGCACGGGUGAGUAACACGUAUCCAACCUGCCUCAUACUCGGGGAUAGCCUUUCGAAAGAAAGAUUAAUAUCCGAUAGCAUAUAUUUCCCGCAUGGGUUUUAUAUUAAAGAAAUUCGGUAUGAGAUGGGGAUGCGUUCCAUUAGUUGUUGGCGGGGUAACGGCCACAAGACUACGAUGGAUAGGGGUUCUGAGAGGAAGGUCCCCCANAGUUGGAACUGAGACACGGUCCAAACUCCUACGGGAGGCA